AGAGGACAAUUUUGCUGCCUAGUGGGCAAUGUCACCCGUUGGCAAUGUUCAUAGAGACCCUGGGGGCUCCUGCUUCUAUUCAGUAGUUGAUGGAAAGGAUGCUUGUUGAUAUGAAAUGUCUGGAGGCCCUAAUUUCCUUGGAUAAAAUUGUAUUUUACAAAAUUUUGGAGGCACAUGAAUUCUGAUUCUCAAAGUUCAGAACAACCUGGAAGAAUCAAGGUUGACCUUGUUGUUUUUCAAAUACAGAUUCCAUUAGAUAUAUAGCAGCAUAACAGGAUAAGGGCAGAUCCUGAAUAGGUAUUUCCUAGCAUCUGUUGGCCAUUUCCCACAAAUCUUAGAGAACCAAAGACCUAUAGGCUUAGUGGAUAUUACAGGAUAUUUGAAGAUUUGAAGAUAACCAUACCAUUAGAGAUAUAAGGCCAGAAGAGGUAUUCUUGGACAAAAGAGAAGGUAGGGCCCUUCAUUUUUUUUUUUGACCACUUUGGAAACUGGUAAAUAAAGACCUGUAAGCAGAGCCCAAGGCCGUAGUGACUUGUUUCAGCCAGCUUCUUGCACUAAGACUAGCUGAUUGCACUUGGUUUAAAUCCUUUAGUUGGAACACACUAACUCUUGUAUGGGUGCUUGAGAGCUGUGCUAUGUCAGGGGGAUGCCAGGAACAUAUCUCAGGCUUCUGCCAGCAGAAUUUAGCUAUGCAAGAUCCAAUAUCCUAUUUGCAGAUCAGAACUUUUGGGCUUAAGCUAGGCAGUGAGACACAGUUCUAGGAGGGGUACAUGUGAAGUACUCGGUUGAUCACAAAAACCCUCUCACCCGUGGGCUUCUCAGUGCCAAGACAGAUAUGAAAGUAGGAGCAGAGGGUAGUCUAGAUUGAUUCUAUUUUCAGGAGUGAUGUCUCUCUUGGAGCUUCCCCUACAGGAUGCCACCUCUCUUGAGGGAAUCAGAGUCAUAUGAAAUUCCCAGGGACUAGAGAACAUCUGUAUGUAGCUUUUAUGCCAGGAAGCACAGCUUUCCAAGAUGGAGCCGAUAGUGGUUCUCACCUUUGUGGCUCUGGUAAAUUUAACUCCUCCAGCAGAGAGAGACCAAAGCAAGCUCAGAAUAGGGGAUGGUCAAGGAAAGAAACCCAGGAUCUCCUGUUGGACCAGACUAGAGUUUUCUCUGAGUGGAUCUGAAUUUUUCAUUGAGAUUGGCACAAAUCAGAACUAAACAGUGCCUUAUGAAAAUGCGCAAGGCACUCUUCCCCAAGCUAUUGUUGUAUGGAUGUGAGAGCCUUAUAAAGCUUUGGAUGGAAUAUAUGAAUGUCAGAGAGCUUUAUACUGUCUGGAACUCUGUAAUUAGAGGGCAGUAUGCUGGUGGACUGUUCCACUUACAAGUCCCACCCCAACAGUUUUGGUGGUACUUAAAAUAAUAAAUUAAAAAAUUCAGUUCUUGAAACUAAAAUCUUAAAAAUUUAUGUGGUCCAUACCUAUUAGUAUUAUCCCCAGAUCUCUUCCUUGUUUUCUCCUGGGAGUCACUGAGGGGUCUCCACUGUUUUUCAGGUAAACGUUACAGCCAUUUAUUUCUUGAUAUCUAGUUCCGUGCUCUCCACCCUUGCGUACUUAUCUUCCAUCCCCAUCAACUUUCGCUUUACAGAUCCCUUCAUCUGAUCAGUGAGUUUCUUGUCAAACAUCUUUCAAAAACUCCUAGGAUGAAGUCCUAAGGUUGGUGUUUUCCAAAACUCUGGAAAUGAUUCCAAUGUGGACCCACAGUUGAGAAGACCCAUGCUGAACCAUGGCGAGCCGUGAGCCCUUGCUGAGCAUCUAUGUAUAGCCAGGUCGGCCCACGCAAUCGUGGCGCAGGAGUAGCACAAGGACGCGCCAGUUGAGUCAUUCACCCUUUCUCACUCAAUGCUUCUUGCCUCCUUUGCUGCCUCCCACUCUCUCUGAGGCAGAGAUCCUGUCACGGAAGUGACUUCUGAGUGCACAGAUGCUUUCUGCUUCCUUUAAGAACUCCUCUGCAAAUUUCUUGGGAGUUUGCAUUCCAAUCAUUAUCAUUCAUUCAGAAAAUGUAAAUCACCCUUUUUGCUUUGACUUAAUCAUUUCCCAUUCUCCCAAGGUUAUUCAGAAAUUCAGAGCUCGAUGACAAUAAGUGAGCCAGUGCGUGGGCCUGUAGACACACCUCACUGUUCCAUUAAAGGCAAACACACACCUUGAAAGAAAUUGCACAUUUGUUUUCAAAGCAUUUGUUUGGAACAUUCUGUUGCCUCGUGGAAACCAUGACAAUUAUGCCCAGGACAUGAAGUGCACCUGUACAUAGAGCCCCUCCAAGUUUAAUGUCUGCUAACCCAUUGACACACAGAUAUGAGGAGUUCUGGGAGCUGAUCUUCAGGGAUUACACACUUGUUCCCAGCAUGUACAACAGCCCCUAAGAAUAUGAACCAUCCUGAAAACCCUUCUCUGACGUUACCUAGUAUUAUGGAUGGAAUGUUUGUGUCCCCACCAAAAUUCAUAUGUUGAAACCCUACCGCACAAUGUGAUAUUAGAAGGUGAGGCCUCUGGAAAGUAAUUAGCUGAGGUCGUGAGGACAGAGCCUCGUGAGUGGGAUCGGUGCCCUUAGAAGAGCCACAAGAGAGCUCACUGCUCUCUGCCACGUGAGGAGGCAGUGAAAGCUGGCAGUCUGCACCUCACAGAAGGACUCACCAGAGCCCAGCCGUGCUGGCACACCGAUCUCAGACUCUGGCCACCAGGACUGCGAGGAAUAAAUUUCUGUUGUUUAUAAGCCACCCAGACUAUUGUAUUUGUUAUAGCAGCCCAGCUGGACUAAGACACCCUAGUUGGCCUUGACCCAGACAAAUGUUCCUAAAGAUGAACAUUGAGAAAUUCCUUGCAAAAAUUUUACUGUGAGAAAUGGUCUUUUUUUUUUAAAUUUGUGUAAAACUGGAAACUCUAAAUAUCCCACAUGGAGUGGUUUAAUCAAACCUCUCUAUAUAAUAAAUUAUGCAUUCAUUAUAAUGAUAUAGAAGAACAUGUGAUAAUAUUUAAAAGUCUAUAAUAAGGAACUAAGAGAAAAAAAUUAAUUCUCAAACAUGUACAGCAGACAUUUAAAAUGUGUGCACACAUGCACACAUCCAAUGUAUGUAGAGUGCAUACGGAAGAGUCCAGAAAAAUCAACAAGAUGUUAACAGUCUAAGGAGGUUGGAUAUCUGGAUUAACUUCAUACUUUUGACUUUUAUUUUCUAUUCGACAAGGAACAUAUAUUAUUUGGGUAAUACGGAAAAAACCCAGGAUUGGUUAUAUACAAAAUAAACAAUUCCAAGCUUUGGAAUUGAGAGACCAGUGGGGGAGUUUUGAGGCGAAGGAUUCUUUGAGGACACUGUCAGCACAGCUAUGGAAGAAAAGCAUGGGGCCCAGAACUCUGCCCCACUGAGGCCCUUAUCUAAGAUGACUCAGGUCCUUGUCUGAGAUUGCUGUUCACCCAGCUCUAUGAUGCUUGCUUAUCGGAUAAGGCCUGAGUCAGAGAUGGAGAGGGUGUUUGCCUCUGAUGUCUGUGUGGAGGAAGAAAUAACACCAAAACCUUAUAAAUUUGCAGUCUCAAUCCAAUGGGUGCCCUAGCAAAGUAACAAUUCUGUUAAAGGAAGAGGGUCCCUAGAACAGAACAGAGCCUUUGAUAUGGGCUGGGUAAGAAUCACACAGUGAGAUCUGUGGUUAUUGGCACAGAAAUAUACACAGUUCAUCUUGAAAAAUCUCACCCCCUCCCCAGAGGUAUCUAAUAGACUUUAUGAAUGCAUUUUUUUCUACUCAGUAUAGUCAGCCAAUGUGUAAUAAGUAAGUGCUGAAGGUCACACUUAUUGGACUUGGAAAUGAUGCACAUCUCCUCAUUUGAAUGGUUGAUUUAAUAUUGUUAUUUCUACCCUGUAUCAUUGAGUUAGAGCUCAAGUCUAAUGAAGCCUCAGGAGCUGUUUUUAUUCCCAAAUAUGGUUGUCAUCUUAAGAUAGAAUUUUCUCCACUGCCACAAAACUCUUCCUCUAAGCCCUUAAUCUAAAUAUGUCACAAGGUGCCUAUAUAACACAAGGACAUCAUAACUCCUGGGAAGUUAUGGGAGCAAACGCUUCAUGUCCUGAGGAAUGCUGCUUCUGUGACAACCUUCUGACUGAGAUCAGCAGGCAAAUGUUAUCUCCGCAACAUCAUAGAAGCAUCUUCAAAUUGAGGGACAUCAAACAACAUAUUAAAAAUAAAAGGGAAACAACAAACAAAUCCUUGUCCCACUGAGACAGUAGCCCUCCAUUCCUAUAAACAGGAAAUCAUUGGCCAUUUGUUGCAGGGGUGGCCAGAGGAGGCCAGGAGUGAGCUUCAUUUGGCAAAAAGUGAUGCAGAACAGGGAUUUGCCAGACAGAGCCAGAAGAAAGAGGACAGGCAAUGGGCAUACCCAGAAGAUGACACCAGCAGGAAAGGGGGAAAUUUUUCUGCCCUUCCUUAGAAUAGUACUGUUGUCAGGCAGCUGCAUCUGUGGAGGUCGCUCACUCUGCUCUAGGUGAAACCUCGACCUGGAUGGUGGAGGGUUCUUGACUCUGAGAAAAAAUUCUCAAACAGGUCUGAUGAGUGUAGGCAAGGAAGGAAUUCAUUAAAGCAAGAGUAGUAGUGCAUGGCUGCAACUAUGCAGGCAGUACAGAGCCAGGAAGAGCAGAGGGAGGAAAGGAAAGUUGAUUAAACUCCUCCUCGGCACAGGGCAGAUCUCUUCCCAACUCCUGAAGCCAGGGUCAUCUAGCAUCCGUGUUCACUUGAAUCUGCCCAGCAUGGGAACUAAACCCCUACCUACCACCCCAGGAUUUGGAGGAGCCGUAGAGCACUGGAUGGAGUGAGUUUAUAUUUUGAGAAUUUCCCAAAACAAAGAAAUAUUUUUGGGGAAGCUACUAAAGAGCAUGAUCUUACAGCUGCUGUCCUGCCCAAGUCACCCAGGUGACAGAAACCUGAAGCCCAAAUCAGAGACCUCAGUAGCCCUUCUCUACUUUUCUGAAGUAGGACAGCAAGUGAAGACUUCUGCUUAAAUUCUAGAAAAUGGAAUGAAAUAGCAAAGUUACAAAGAUGCUUACCACUGCAAGAGCACAGAGACUAAACACAGUAAGUUGAGCAGUGAGAAGUCUUUAUUUAAGGCAAAGUACACACUUGAAGAUAGGGGAAUGCAGGCAACCUGAGAAAAGAGGUGUGCUUAAGGGCUUAGGAUUCUGUCUUUUAAGGUUUUCAAAAAUGGGGUAACGGGUUAGAAGGGCAUAGGCUUGACAUGGUGUCUCAUGAUGUGUAUCUCCAGUAAGAGACAUCAUGUCACUAUCCACAGUCAGUCCUCUAGAUAUUCUGUAAGAUAAACUUAACACAAGAAAUUUGUUGAUCCUGUUCUUCUCCAAGAUAGUGGUUACCCUCAAGCAGUGGGAACAUAUCAUUUAGAACUGCUUACCCUGCCUUAACAUAGGGUCGAUUAUUGGUUGACUACCAUAAAAUAUGUUAGGAAUCUUACCUCCUAACUUCCUGGUUUUUAAAAUGGAAUCUUAGCCUUAAGAUGGAGUCCCUCCUGUUCUUACUAUACUAUUUAUAUCUUGGCAUCUUUAUCAUAGGCAGGAAAAAUUAAUCAUGAUGCUUGUCCCAUGUCCCUGCCCCACCUCAGUAGCAUUCCUCUUUCUCUCCUCUGUGUUCCCCAUAACUCUUGUUUUAUUCUAUCAAAGUACUUGUCACCCCAUGUUAUUCUGGCCUAUUUGUCUACAUCCCUUUGUAAACUUCAAGCUUCAUGUGGGCUGGAGCCAAGUAUCCUUGUCCAUAAUGGUGAAUAGGCUGCUGUCCCCAAGCCUGACAUGCUGUAGGCUCCUAGUACAUGCUUAAUAAACAUGUCAUCAGUAUGAGAAAAUGAAUGAUGUAUGCAAAGAUUUACCAUGAAGAAGAAAUGA